AGUCCAGACAGGUCUACGAACCCUGUUUUGAAGGAUGAACCAGGAAUUCCGCCCCCACCCCCCCACACACACAGAGGCAGCAAUGAGGACAGAGAGUCUGGAGUCACGGCCCCACAGUCUCUCAGAGGAUGACCAAAGCUAGACCUUGGUCUCCAGGUCUCCACCAGAAUCCCUGCUGCUGCACCCUGCCUUCUCAUCCACUGGGACCCUAAGCUCCCUCAUUUUGCUCUCUUUACCACCCCUAGACUUUCCUUAUGCCUCCCCACCUUCACACCUCUGCCUGCGCUGUGCCCAUGAAUUAGCAUUUAGUCCUUCCCCUGCUAGAACAUCACAAUAAUCCCCCAUGUUAGUCAACAUAUCAGUCAUGCCUUUUAUUUUCUAUAUCCUGAUGCUUUGCUGACUCUGGAGAGAGAAUCUAGCUAAUUCUUGGAGGUGGUCAAGGACUUGCCAGGCCAA
rnacentral:lncRNA from 1 species